ACUCUCGGCAACGGAUAUCUCGGCUCUCGCAUCGAUGAAGAACGUAGCGAAAUGCGAUACUUGGUGUGAAUUGCAGAAUCCCGUGAACCAUCGAGUCUUUGAACGCAAGUUGCGCCCGAAGCCUUCUGGCUGAGGGCACGCCUGCCUGGGCGUCACGCAUCG
rnacentral:rRNA from 3 species